rnacentral:rRNA from 1 species
CCUACGGGUGGCAGCAGUGGGGAAUAUUGCGCAAUGGGCGAAAGCCUGACGCAGCGACGCCGCGUGAGGGAUGAAGGUCUUCUGAUUGUAAACCUCUGUCAGCAGGGAAGAACGGUCACUGUGCUAAUCAGCAGUGAAUUGACGGUACCUGCAAAGGAAGCACCGGCUAACUCCGUGCCAGCAGCCGCGGUAAUACGGAGGGUGCGAGAGUUAAUCGGAAUUAUUGGGCGUAAAGCGCUCGUAGGCGGUAUGUCAAGGCAAGGGUGAAAUCCCCGGGCUCAAAAUGGGAACUGCCGUUGAGACUGGCAAACUGGAGUGUGUGAGAGGAUAGUGGAAUUCCAGGUGUAGGGGUGAAAUCCGUAGAUAUCUGGAAGAACAUCAGUGGUGAAGGCGACUAACUGGCACAUAACUGACGCUGAGGAGCGAAAGCGUGGGUAGCAAACAGGAUUAGAUACCCGGGUAGUC